rnacentral:rRNA from 1 species
CCAGACUUGGAACCGGGAGGAGGUAAGGAGGUACUACAGGGGUAGGAGUGAAAUCUUGUAAUCCCUGUGGGACCACCCUGUGGCGAAGGCGUCUUACCAGAACGGGUCGACGGUGAGGGACGAAGCUGGGGGCACGAACCGGAUUAGAUACCCGGGUAGUCCCAGCCGUAAACGAUGCUCGCUAGGUGUCAGGCAUGGCGCGACCGUGUCUGGUGCCGCAGGGAAGCCGUGAAGCGAGCCACCUGGGAAGUACGGCCGCAAGGCUGAAACUUAAAGGAAUUGGCGGGGGAGCACAACAACGGGUGGAGCCCUGCGGUUUAAUUGGACUCAACGCCGGACAACUCACCGGGGGCGACAGCAAUAUGUAGGCCAAGCUGAAAGACUUUGCCUGAAUCGCUGAGUAGAGGUGCAUGG